rnacentral:tRNA from 1 species
AAGGCUUUAAGUUAACUAAACUAAUAGCCUUCAAAGCUUUAAAUAGAGAAUAUAAUCUUUAAGCCUUA